AUCCUCUCUAUGCCAAUCUUGUUCCCUCGGUUCCUCUGGCGGGGCACUCCUGAUUGGGGAACCAGCAGGGGACAGAAGCCAAGUGGGAGACUGGGAGAUGUUUGCAAUUUCCUCCGGGGAUCUCCUGGUGAGGGGCAGCACUGAACCAGGGGUUCUGACUCACAUGUCUACAAUGCAGAAGUGAAGAACAGACGGUGAAACAGCAAGACAAGCCAGAAGCACCGAGGAGACAGGGGACAGUUAAAACCACCCAGACCCCAGAGACACAGCCACCAGGAUUGUUGGUCGCCUACAUUUCUACUCUUGGGGCUGCUGUACACUUCAGUGUAAGCAGCAGCUGGUAAAAGACCCUGGAGAUGACAAGCAAGUAGAGAGCACCUCUCUUUGCAGCCACUACUACAGAGCCCAAGAUCACCAUGACCAAAUUAGGACAGAAAGCCUGCAUUGACGCACACACGGCCCCGGGGAGUCUGAGUGCGAGCGGAUCCAAUGCUGUUGAACAAAACGUGAAACCAAAGAAAACACCCAGCCACACAGAGCCCUUUGAAUUGAUGGCUUUGCUCCAGGGCCCUGAGUGGGGAGAGAGAGAAGAGAGACAAAGCCCGGCUUUGAUGUAGAAGAACCAUUAGAGAAUGGAGAGCCCUAGAAAUGAUGGAGCCACCGGAUGGAAGAAACCUGUAUUCCUGAACAACUUCAUGGGGCAACCCCCUGCCCCCCCCCCCCGCAAAUUGGCCUGCAAAGUAUUUACCCACUGAGAGUUGGUGGCUGUUUGUUCCAGAAUUAGCAUUCCCUGAUUAACACUAAGCAACCCAAGAUCAAAAGAGCAAGCCUGUAAGAAUACCAUAAUGCUCAUCCAAUCUCAGACUUUUCCCUACAAAAUGCCUGAUGGCCCUAGAGCCCAAGUAGAAUGUACCUCCAGGAUUACUGCCUCAGGUCCAGGAAGCUCCCAUCUACAAUUAGAAACGUCUGUAAAAAAAAAAAAAAAAAACUGUGUCCAGCCAGCCCUGCACCAUCUCUGCCAUCCCAUAUUUUCUCUACUCGAAUCAUGGAGUGUCUAUGAUCACAGAAGGAAAAUGAAAUAUGAUUCGAGGUGUCACCUUUCAAAGGGUGUUAGUGACUGUCAGCUAAAGUGAUUCAAGCCCCGGAAAAACCCCUGUGUCCUCUUAACAUCCAAAACGAAUCCUCUUCACACCAGACAUCAAUGUUAAAUAAACAGAGAUUUCCAUUAA